GACCUCAAAUCAGGUAGGACUACCCGCUGAACUUAAGCAUAUCAAUAAGCGGAGGAAAAGAAACUAACAAGGAUUCCCCUAGUAACUGCGAGUGAAGCGGGAAAAGCUCAAAUUUAAAAUCUGACGGUCUUUUGGUCGUCCGAGUUGUAAUCUAGAGAAGUGUUAUCCGCGUUGGACCGUGUACAAGUCUCCUGGAAUGGAGCGUCAUAGAGGGUGAGAAUCCCGUCUUUGACACGGACUACCAGUGCUUUGUGAUGCGCUCUCAAAGAGUCGAGUUGUUUGGGAAUGCAGCUCAAAAUGGGUGGUAAAUUCCAUCUAAAGCUAAAUAUUGGCGAGAGACCGAUAGCGAACAAGUACCGUGAGGGAAAGAUGAAAAGAACUUUGGAAAGAGAGUUAAACAGUACGUGAAAUUGCUGAAAGGGAAACGCUUGAAGUCAGUCGCGUUGUCCGGGAAUCAACCUUGCUUUUGCUGGGUGUACUUUCCGGUUGACGGGUCAGCAUCAAUUUUGACCGUUGGAUAAAGUGUAGGGGAAUGUGGCAUCUUCGGAUGUGUUAUAGCCCUUGCUCGCAUACAACGGUUGGGAUUGAGGAACUCAGUACGCCGCAAGGCCGGGAAUUUAUUCUACGUUCGUACUUAGGAUGCUGGCAUAAUGGCUUUAAUCGACCCGUCUUGAAACACGGACCAAGGAGUCUAACAUGCCUGCGAGUGUUUGGGUGGAAAACCCGAGCGCGUAAUGAAAGUGAAAGUUGAGAUCCCUGUCGUGGGGAGCAUCGACGCCCGGACCAGACCUUUUGUGACGGAUCUGCGGUAGAGCAUGUAUGUUGGGACCCGAAAGAUGGUGAACUAUGCCUGAAUAGGGUGAAGCCAGAGGAAACUCUGGUGGAGGCUCGUAGCGAUUCUGACGUGCAAAUCGAUCGUCAAAUUUGGGUAUAGGGGCGAAAGACUAAUCGAACCAUCUAGUAGCUGGUUCCU
rnacentral:rRNA from 1 species